GAGUCCUGAUCCCUGUGGUGAGGAUGGGAGUGCAGAUAUAGAUGUUGGGCGUUCUGAGCUCUUCUCCCCCAAAAAGAGUCCUGAUCCUGUGGGGAGGAUGGGAGUACAGAUAUAGAUGAUCAGUGUCCGGGAACAAGCUAUGUUCAGAGGCCCUCACAGAAGAAG